rnacentral:rRNA from 1 species
GACGAACGCUGGCGGCGUGCUUAACACAUGCAAGUCGAACGGAAAGGCCCUGCUUUUGUGGGGUGCUCGAGUGGCGAACGGGUGAGUAACACGUGAGUAACCUGCCCUUGACUUUGGGAUAACUUCAGGAAACUGGGGCUAAUACCGGAUAGGAGCUCCUGCUGCAUGGUGGGGGUUGGAAAGUUUCGGCGGUUGGGGAUGGACUCGCGGCUUAUCAGCUUGUUGGUGGGGUAGUGGCUUACCAAGGCUUUGACGGGUAGCCGGCCUGGGAGGGUGACCGGCCACAUUGGGACUGGGAUAAGGCCCCGACUCCUACGGGAGGGAGCAGGGGGGAAAAAUGCACCAUGGGCGGAAGGCUGAUGCAGCAACGCCGGGUGCGGGAAGACGGCCUUUGGGGUGUAAACCGCUUUCGCCUGUGACGAAGCGUGAGUGACGGUAAUGGGUAAAGAAGCACCGGCUAACUACGUG